rnacentral:rRNA from 1 species
AAUCAACGCUGGCGGCGUGCCUCAGACAUGCAAGUCGAACGAUUAAGACUCCCUUCGGGGAGUGUAUAAAGUGGCGCACGGGUGAGUAACACGUAGGUAAUCUACCUUUGAGUGGGGAAUAACAAUCGGAAACGAUUGCUAAUACCGCAUAAUGCAGCGGCACCGCAAGGUGACAGUUGUUAAAGGAGCAAUUCGCUUAAAGAGGAGCCUGCGGCAGAUUAGCUAGUUGGUAAGGUAAUGGCUUACCAAGGCUACGAUCUGUAACCGACC